ensembl:misc_RNA Y_RNA Y RNA
GGCUGGUCCUCACUAAGGUAGUGAGGUACCUCAGUUGAUUGUUCAUAGUCAGGUCCAGAGUGAACUCCUGUUGUACACUUCCCCUUCUCACUACUGCACUUGACUCAUCUAAA